GACGAACGCUGGCGGCGUGCUUAACACAUGCAAGUCGAACGGAAAGGCCCUGCUUUUGUGGGGUGCUCGAGUGGCGAACGGGUGAGUAACACGUGAGUAACCUGCCCUUGACUUUGGGAUAACUUCAGGAAACUGGGGCUAAUACCGGAUAGGUGCUCCUGCUGCAUGGUGGGGGUUGGAAAGUUUCGGCGGUUGGGGAUGGACUCGCGGCUUAUCAGCUUGUUGGUGGGGUAGUGGCUUACCAAGGCUUUGACGGGUAGCCGGCCUGAGAGGGUGACCGGCCACAUUGGGACUGAGAUACGGCCCAGACUCCUACGGGAGGCAGCAGUGGGGAAUAUUGCACAAUGGGCGGAAGCCUGAUGCAGCAACGCCGCGUGCGGGAUGACGGCCUUCGGGUUGUAAACUGCUUUCGCCUGUGACGAAGCGUGAGUGACGGUAAUGGGUAAAGAAGCACCGGCUAACUACGUG
rnacentral:rRNA from 1 species